rnacentral:rRNA from 1 species
CCUACGGGAGGCAGCAGUGAGGAAUAUUGGUCAAUGGACGAGAGUCUGAACCAGCCAAGUAGCGUGAAGGAUGACUGCCCUAUGGGUUGUAAACUUCUUUUAUAUGGGAAUAAAAUGUUCCACGUGUGGGAUUUUGUAUGUACCCUAUGAAUAAGGAUCGGCUAACUCCGUGCCAGCAGCCGCGGUAAUACGGAGGAUCCGAGCGUUAUCCGGAUUUAUUGGGUUUAAAGGGAGCGUAGGUGGAUUGUUAAGUCAGUUGUGAAAGUUUGCGGCUCAACCGUAAAAUUGCAGUUGAAACUGGCAGUCUUGAGUACAGUAGAGGUGGGCGGAAUGCGUGGUGUAGCGGUGAAAUGCUUAGAUAUCACGAAGAACUCCGAUUGCGAAGGCAGUUCACUGGACUGCAACUGACACUGAGGCUCGAAAGUGUGGGUAUCAAACAGGAUUAGAUACCCCUGUAGUC